CAACUACUCCCUCCGUCCGGAAAUACUUGUCGUAGAAAUGGAUAUAAAUGGAUGUAUCUAAAACUAAAAUACAUCUAGAUACAUCCAUUCCUCGGACAAGUAUUUCCAGACGGAGGGAGUACUAG
rnacentral:pre_miRNA from 1 species